CCUACGGGUGGCAGCAGUGGGGAAUAUUGGACAAUGGGCGAAAGCCUGAUCCAGCCAUGCCGCGUGUGUGAAGAAGGCCUUCGGGUUGUAAAGCACUUUCAGUUGGGAAGAAAGCCUUGGGGCUAAUACCCUCGAGGAAGGACAUCACCCACAGAAGAAGCACCGGCUAACUCCGUGCCAGCAGCCGCGGUAAUACGGAGGGUGCGAGCGUUAAUCGGAAUUACUGGGCGUAAAGCGCGCGUAGGCGGUCUGAUAAGCCGGUUGUGAAAGCCCCGGGCUCAACCUGGGAACGGCAUCCGGAACUGUCAGGCUAGAGUGCAGGAGAGGAAGGUAGAAUUCCCGGUGUAGCGGUGAAAUGCGUAGAGAUCGGGAGGAAUACCAGUGGCGAAGGCGGCCUUCUGGACUGACACUGACGCUGAGGUGCGAAAGCGUGGGUAGCAAACAGGAUUAGAUACCCCGGUAGUC
rnacentral:rRNA from 1 species